GUUACAGCUACCCCUGUGCCGGUUGUUGAAAACCCAACAGCUAUUGGUUGGAUAGACCUUGGAAAAGAUCGAAUCUCGAGAAUUAAUGUAGCCCUGCAAGCUAUAAUCGCCACUAUUGAAACAGAUGCACAUUUUGCUUUGCCGAUCAUGAUAUGUCGUUUGAAAGGAAUGCUCUUGAGUAUGAAUCAGCCCAGUGCACGUAUUAUAAAAAAUGUCAAGUUGGACGAUGCUUAUAAUUGUGUCCUAACUGCUGUAAACAACGAUACAUAUAUUCUCACUGCUGUUUGGGAGCCAAGCAUGGCAAGCAUACUUCAAUCGAGUGAAAUGUAAAAAAGCGUUCACUUGCCACUCGGUUAUGACGAAACACAUCAAGCAUUUAAAAU